rnacentral:misc_RNA from 1 species
UCGAUCUCGCCUCGCGGGACGCCGUCGAUAAGGCGUUGCAGCGGUUGACGAAGGCCGAGACCCUCAGGCGGAUCGAUCGCGGGCUCUACGAUCAGCCUGGCUUCAACAAGCUCACCCAAAAACCCAACCCGCCCGAUCCGCGCUCGGUCAUCGACGCCGUCGGACGACGCGACCAAACGCGGAUGCUUGUCGACGGCAUGACGGCGGCGAAUGAUCUGGGUCUGACGGAUGCCGUCCCAGCCAAAAUCGUAGUGCGCACCGACGCGCGCCGCCGCGCGA